UGCGGGGUCGUCUAAUGGUAGGACUCCAGACUUUGGAUCUGGCUAUUCUAGGUUCGAAUCCUAGCCCCGCAG
rnacentral:tRNA from 1 species